rnacentral:ncRNA from 1 species
GCAAAACCGAUGACAAAGAAGAGUAAUUAAGAUCCGUGUGAAAAGAGAGGAAAUGUCCCGGGCUGAAAACAUUUCUGCACAACGGCUUAAUGAACGAACACUUUGUAGGUUCUGUCCUGAACGGAAAUCCAGUAGGGACGGGCGUUACAGGCGUUAACUGUAAAAGUGGAAGCAGACGCUUCAAUUAGGGUGGCACCACGGGAAUUCAACUCUCGUCCCUUGU